GUGCCAAAUAUCUACCUUAGAAAAAAUGUGGAAGAGAGGAAGGACAAAUGUAGCACAGUAUGUACUCAAAAGGACUGAAACGGGAGCCUUCUCAAAUUACUGUGGAUUCGCUCUAUGAAUUCUUUUGAUCACUCGUUGAGAUAGAGAGAGGCAAGUUUAAGGUGUCGUGAAUUUUCUGAAGAACAAAGGUUUUAUUAUGAUGUAUUAAGAAGUUUAAGAAUCAAGUGACAGGCCAGUAAAUAUCUGAUGUAUCUGUGCUUUUUGGAGGUCAUAAUCCCACUUUUCAUGCAUCAAUUUUCUGGAAGCUUCCCCAGUUGCUCUGGAUUCCCUCUAUGAAACACUUGGAUGAGUCACUGAGGCAGCCAAGUUUAAGAUGUCAUGAAUUUGCUCAAGAAUCAAGAGAUGCAUUUUGCGGCAUGGAAGAGAGGAAGAAUGGUUUUUAGAGAGUUGCUGAACGAGCUCGUUUAAUGGCCGUAGCAAUGGUGGACAAAAUUACAUCAUGCACUGAAGAAAACUUGAUUGAGGCACUUGUAAGCAA